rnacentral:tRNA from 2 species
GGAAAAGUUGCCAUAGGUAAGGCGAGAUGUUUGCUAUACAUUGUGUAAUUCACUUGGGUGUUCGAUUCACUUCUUUUCCG